UACGGAGGGUGCAAGCAUUAAUCGGAUUUAUUGGGCGUAAAGGGCGCGUAGGCGGAGAUGUAAGUCAGAUGUGAAAUCCCGGGGCUCAACCCCGGAACAGCAUUUGAUACUGCUUCUCUCGAGGGUAGGCGGAGAAAAUGGAAUUCCACAAGUAGCGGUGAAAUGCGUAGAUAUGUGGAAGAACACCGGUGGCGAAGGCGAUUUUCUAGCUUAUACCUGACGCUGAUGCGCGAAAGCAAGGGGAGCAAACAGG
rnacentral:rRNA from 1 species